rnacentral:lncRNA from 1 species
UUAAAUCAAGUUGAACAAAUUUGAUCAAUCUUGAAAUGAGAUAAUAACCAUGAAUGGAUGACUAUGCCAAUUCCUUGCCACUUAAGAAAUGAUGAACAUUUUUAAAUCUCCUUUGAAUUUUCUUUACAAAAGUGAACUUUUUAUUCCAUGGUAACAAUGCCUUGAUUAUACACUUUAAUUCAAGCACAAUCAUCCUUGAAUUCAUCACUUGUAAUUGAUGUGGAACAAACUUACAUGUCUGAGGAUGUUGAAAACAAACAUCCACCUUGAAUUCAC